GGGCACAACGUUCAACAGUAAGGUUUUGGACUGCUAUUAUGAAAAUGCUGACUGGGCCAGCGCUCAACAUAUGUGCGAAGGCGUUAUGUCGCUGCAACUGAUAAUGACUUGCAUGAAAAAUACAAUGUUUGAAAUUCCAAUACCGUUACCAUACUACAAAUCCGACGUGAUUGACUUCGCCGACAAAGUCACUGAAUGUCUCGCCACGUUGCUGCACCAUCCAAUGCCUUAUGGCAGAAGCGCCGCUGAAGUGACCGAUGAACCGGAAUCUGAAUUCAGCCUGAUCCGCUGACGUCUUCUAUGAGAUUGUUCUAUUGGAGCAGUUCCCGUUCUUGGAUUAAAAACAUGCUAGCUUCUGCAUUUUAGGUGUAU
rnacentral:lncRNA from 1 species